rnacentral:tRNA from 3 species
GCCGUUGUGGCUCAGUUGGUAGAGCAGCUCACUCGUAAUGAGCAGGUCACCGGUUCGAGUCCGGUCAACGGCUCCA